rnacentral:rRNA from 1 species
AAAACUUUCAACAACGGAUCUCUUGGUUCCCGCAUCGAUGAAGAACGCAGCGAAAUGCGAUAAGUAAUGUGAAUUGCAGAAUUCAGUGAAUCAUCGAAUCUUUGAACGCACAUUGCGCCCUCUGGUCAUUCCGGGGGGCAUGCCUGUUCGAGCGUCGUAUAGCACCCUCAAGCCCCGGCUUGGUGUUGG